UUAGAUGAAGAAGAGAAAAAAACAUGCAUUUGUUGGAGAACUAUUGGGCGUUUUUAUGGAGUUCACAACCAUGAAUAACCUAAUACUUUGGAGGGACAUGCAUUUGUUGGGCGUUUAGAUGAAGAAGAGAAAAAAGAUGUUCAUGACUUAACAAAAUAUGAUGUUGCACCGAGGCACAUAUUACUCUUAUUGCAAGACCGAGGUAAGAACAAUGUUACUAAGAACUCACAAUUUUAUAAACACAGGAGUAUGAUUCGAUUGCAUGUGAGAGGUCAUAAGACAGAGAUGCAACAUUUAUUCAAGUUAAUUGAAGAUAUAAAAUAUGUGUAUUGGAAUAGAAAACAGGAAGAUUCAUAUGUUAUGAGAGAUAUUUUUUGGGCCUAUCCAGAUUCAAUGAAGUUGUUGAAUUUGUUUCCUAUUGUGUUGAUUAUGGACAACACCUACAAAACCAAUAAAUAUAGAAUGCCAUUAUUUGAAAUUGUUGGUAUGAAAUCAACAUAGAUGACAUUUGUAGUUGAAUUUGCUUAUUUGGAAUGUGAGAAGAAAGAAAACUUGGUUGACUGCUAAUAAGCAGAGGUUUGUCGAAGCAUGGAUAAAUCGAGUGAUGCAUUUGAGAAACACAACGACUAACAGGUAUGUCAUGUCACUCUAAAACUUCAAUUUUGUAAUUUUACUAUAUAUAGUUGGAUUGCUCCAAGGUGACAAUUUACAUGUAAUGAUAGGGUUGAGCAAGCUCAUUGGAAACAAAAGUUAAUGUUGGAACACAACAUGAGUGAUAUGUGUAAAUGUUAGGAGGCUAUAAACAACAUGAUAAGGUUGCAACAUAAAAAAAUUAGGGGAUCAUUUCAGAAAAGUUUCUAUGAUCAAGAGCAUCAACACAUCAAUCUAUUUUAUUAGAGAUUGAAUACAUUUGCAUCAAGAGAAGCUCAAAGACGUAAUGUUGUAGAAUACGAGAAGGUUGAGUGGGUACCGAACAAUAUGUAUAUGGGUGCUCUCUCAAAAGAACAUCUAAGUUACUUUGUGCUUGUUAAUUGACACAAUAUAAAUCGAUGGGUGAACCAAUUCCUCUAGUUUUUGUGCAUAUUCAAUGGAGGAAAUUAAGCGUGGAAUAUGAACUCACCCAAGACACAUAAGAUGGAUCAAAGUUAGAUAUGUCUAAUGAGAUGAAUGCUUCGUGGAAACACUUUCGAUCACUUGAUGUUAUAGGAAAAAUAGUGUUGAAGAGUAAGGUGCGUGAACUUGCUUUUCCUACUACAAGUUCAAUGUAUCCACCACUUGAAAAAGUUAAAACCAAAGGACGAGUGAAGAAGAGUACGUGUAUGAAGCUAGAUGAACAUGAUGUAUAUCGAGACCCUUCUUACUUUGAGCAUGUUAAUGUAACAUAUUGUGAAUAUCCUAUUCCCAACCAUCUCAAUCAUCAAAGAAGAGACAUUCUCUCAACCAUCUCAACCAUCUCAAUGAUCAAAGAAGAGACAUUCUCUUUCCUCGAUACAUUUGUUCUUGAGACAAUUUCCUGAUGUUAUUCAACCAUACAUUGAUGACAUAUUUAAUGUGAUAGUAGAUGGAAAUUGUGGCUAUCGCGCUAUUGCAUCGUUGCUUAGACACAAUGAGGAGUCUUGAUCUUUGGUCUACCAUAGUUUGGACCAAGAGAUUGCUUCUCAUAUAAGUCUAUAUGAUAGACUUUUCCCAGGACGCAUUAGAGAAGUAAGAGAUUCGUUGAAGAUAACAAGCUUAGGUGUUCAACCUAUAGAUAAAUGAACGUCCAUACCUGAUAUGAGUUACGUGAUAGAGAUAACAUAUAAUAUUAUUCUCGUCACGUUUGGUCAAUACUUUUCUAUGACUUUCUUUCCUAUGAGGGGUUCACAUUCAAGAUCGACAAAAAAUGAUCGUAUCAUAUGUAUUGGUUUAUCGAUGCAAGUAACUGGAUUCUGUUAAAGAUGAAAGAUGAAUUUCCAAUAUCAAACAUUGUACCAGGUUGGAUGCAUUGCACCGAUGAAGCAAGUUCUUUGGCUAUAACAUAUACAAGACGGCUGCAACACUGAGUGUAUUUAUUAGGUCAUUUGCCACGUGUGACACAAAAUCCACUUAAAGAACCCGUAGACGCCACACCAUUAGAUGAAGAUUAAUUUUGUAUAGACUACAAUACUUUAAAACUUAUAUAAGAAUUUUUGUUAUUCGUUUAUUUUA